AAGGCCAUAGGCACAUCCCUACAUGUCUCUUGUCUGGUGUGUUAGAGUUCUCAGAGAAAGUCUAAUGGUCUUCAUUCACUGGCGGGGACCUGCAGUGCGUCGUUAGUGCCCAGGUUAGAGACAUGC